UCAUAGUCUAGUUGUCAAAAAGAAUAAAGCACAAAAGAUGGACCUUUACCAGGCUAGUCACCAGAGAAUUGCUAUAGUUUCCUUCCCAGUACAAGUCUUCAGAUGUUCCUAAGGUUUCCCUUCAUGGAUUAACAGACUCUUAACUGACCUUGGUAUCUUUGAAAUAUUUCUCUGAGUUAAUCAAGAAAGCCACAGAGGACUGAGUGAGAUGCAACUACAUUAUUAAUAAGGGCCCUUCGGAGAGAGCUGGAGACCAAGACAGUGCAAAAGGAAAGGAAUGAAAACGUCUCUUGGAGACUGACUGGAGAUGUGAGAUAUAUAUCAAUGGCCCUGGGACUAGAUAUGUCCACUGAGUGAAGAUUAGCAGUCUUUGAAAUAACUGAGGAAUUCCAAUAGAAGCAUUUCAUGAGUUGUGGGGCUUACAAGAUUACAAGCUCUUCCAACUGUGUUUGACUUCCAUGAGGUGUGAUGCAUAGAACUGGAGUGAAUAAAAUGCUGAAGGCUUUGCAGAGACUCCCCAAGCUCCUUGACAGCUGUCAUUGCUAUUGAACCCAGCUCUAACAACCGAAGAAAGCUUGAUUGGUACACUGUUUUGUGGGACCACAAAGACGCUCUCUCCAUUUCACACAAGCAUCUGUUGCCAUAUUCUGGAGCUUUAUUCCCUCCCACUUUGAUAAACUAGAUGAUUUGGUGCCAUGUGCCAUUUCUUCUUCCUUAUUAGCACCAUUUGGCGGUUUUCUCCCCACCAUGACUUGAAGCUUUUGUUUCCAGGAAAUGAGCAGGGAAGAUACAUUUUGCCCACUAUAAUUGUCUCUUUCUGGUUUAGUUGCAUGAUAAUAGAGUCUACAGGUUUUGAAUAGGGAGUGGUGUGACUUUAGUGUUUUAAGGACAAAUGCAAACCGCUUUAUAGAAGUGCAGUACUCUGCCAGUUUACACCCUUUUUACGGUAAGAAAAUGAGAAAGUUGCACCACAAUAAAGUGAGUUCUCAAUAAAAGAUAGGUCGGGGUCCCAGUAAUUUCUGUCAAACUAGGCAUUAUGACAGCCAUCAUCAUUGCAAUACCUGAGCCCCUCCCACCCUUUAAUGCAGUGGUCUCCAACCUUUUUAAGCACAAGAUCACUUUUUGAAUUUAAGUCAGUCCAUGAUCUACCUCAAACCCAGAUACCCUUGCCUCACUCCUUUUCCCAAGUCCUGUCUGUGCACCACCCCUUUGCCAAGGCCCCACCCUCCUCACUUUGUGAAGAUGGGGUGCAGGGGAGAGGAACAGAAUGAUAUCAGCACCCCCCUACCUCUGUCUCCCCCACUCUGCACAACAACCAGGAGGCUCCCAGCUGCAGCUCUGAGGCUCUGGGCAGGAACAGCAGGGCAGUGGGGGUAGGGGCAGCUGAAGUGCUAGCUCUUGACAGCCUCCUAGCCAAACUAGUCAGGAUCACCUGUCAGACACUCCAGGAUUUACUGGUAGAUCCCGAUCUACUGGUUGGUGACCACUACUUUAAUUCACUUAUCCUUUCAACUCCCCUCAGGUGUGGGGAAGCACGCUUAUCACCACUUCAUAGGUGGGGAACUAAGGCGCAGUGGGAUAAAGGCUUUGUCUACACUUAUAAGCACACAGAGGCAUAGCUGUACCCAUUCAUCUCUCCCACUGUGAAAGUGAUUGUGUAGCCACAUUAUGCCAACUGAAGAGAGUUCUCCCAUUGACAUAAAACCAGCUCAAUGAGCGGUGGUAGUUGUGCUGGCACUCAGACCAACAUAGAGCUGUGCACACAAGCCCUUAUGCCAGCAAAACGUAUUGCUCUGGGGCGUGAAAAGAUAUGCUACCCUAACUGCUAGUGUAGACUUGGCUUAAGAUACUUCCUGAAGGGAACACUGGCAGUGUAUGGCAAAGCCAAGGACUAAACUCAGGUCUUCUGUGUAACAGGCCAGUGACUUAAGCUUGAGACCAUUUCUCCCAACAAACUAGCUCAUCAUUUACCUGAAAAAAACAGGCUUUGCAUUCAACAUCCACAUUAAUUAUAAUUAAUUAUAAUUAUACUUAUAAUUAAUAUAAUACUAUUCUGGUGCAUAUGCUUGGGGCAUGCUCUCAUCCGUGUUCAGCACCACUGCUACAUGAUGAAAAGAAAAAAGGAAUACACACGAGAUGGUCAAUGCAGAGAGAAGACAAUAUACAUGAUUUUUAAUUCUUAUGUACAAGUUAGAGAUAAUUUAUGCUCUUGGUUUUACCCAUACAUUCUUUAGUUGGAUCACUGGAUCUGUAAACAAAAUACAGGACUAUGUAGCACUUUAAAGACUAAGGAUCUGUAAAUACAUUGUACUUUAAGAUCAUAUUUGCCAUCUAGCUAGCAGAAUCCAGAUGGGGGACGAUGGGAGGCAUAGGACAUGGGGAAUGCACAAUUUCUACACACUGGGAGAAAUCCACUAAUCCACUUUC